UUAAGCGACUAAGCGUACACGGUGGAUGCCCUGGCAGUCAGAGGCGAUGAAGGACGUGCUAAUCUGCGAUAAGCGUCGGUAAGGUGAUAUGAACCGUUAUAACCGGCGAUUUCCGAAUGGGGAAACCCAGUGUGUUUCGACACACUAUCAUUAACUGAAUCCAUAGGUUAAUGAGGCGAACCGGGGGAACUGAAACAUCUAAGUACCCCGAGGAAAAGAAAUCAACCGAGAUUCCCCCAGUAGCGGCGAGCGAACGGGGAGCAGCCCAGAGCCUGAAUCAGUGUGUGUGUUAGUGGAAGCGUCUGGAAAGGCGCGCGAUACAGGGUGACAGCCCCGUACACAAAAAUGCACAUGCUGUGAGCUCGAUGAGUAGGGCGGGACACGUGGUAUCCUGUCUGAAUAUGGGGGGACCAUCCUCCAAGGCUAAAUACUCCUGACUGACCGAUAGUGAACCAGUACCGUGAGGGAAAGGCGAAAAGAACCCCGGCGAGGGGAGUGAAAAAGAACCUGAAACCGUGUACGUACAAGCAGUGGGAGCACGCUUAGGCGUGUGACUGCGUACCUUUUGUAUAAUGGGUCAGCGACUUAUAUUCUGUAGCAAGGUUAACCGAAUAGGGGAGCCGAAGGGAAACCGAGUCUUAACUGGGCGUUAAGUUGCAGGGUAUAGACCCGAAACCCGGUGAUCUAGCCAUGGGCAGGUUGAAGGUUGGGUAACACUAACUGGAGGACCGAACCGACUAAUGUUGAAAAAUUAGCGGAUGACUUGUGGCUGGGGGUGAAAGGCCAAUCAAACCGGGAGAUAGCUGGUUCUCCCCGAAAGCUAUUUAGGUAGCGCCUCGUGAACUCAUCUCCGGGGGUAGAGCACUGUUUCGGCAAGGGGGUCAUCCCGACUUACCAACCCGAUGCAAACUGCGAAUACCGGAGAAUGUUAUCACGGGAGACACACGGCGGGUGCUAACGUCCGUCGUGAAGAGGGAAACAACCCAGACCGCCAGCUAAGGUCCCAAAGUCAUGGUUAAGUGGGAAACGAUGUGGGAAGGCCCAGACAGCCAGGAUGUUGGCUUAGAAGCAGCCAUCAUUUAAAGAAAGCGUAAUAGCUCACUGGUCGAGUCGGCCUGCGCGGAAGAUGUAACGGGGCUAAACCAUGCACCGAAGCUGCGGCAGCGACGCUUAUGCGUUGUUGGGUAGGGGAGCGUUCUGUAAGCCUGUGAAGGUGUACUGUGAGGUAUGCUGGAGGUAUCAGAAGUGCGAAUGCUGACAUAAGUAACGAUAAAGCGGGUGAAAAGCCCGCUCGCCGGAAGACCAAGGGUUCCUGUCCAACGUUAAUCGGGGCAGGGUGAGUCGACCCCUAAGGCGAGGCCGAAAGGCGUAGUCGAUGGGAAACAGGUUAAUAUUCCUGUACUUGGUGUUACUGCGAAGGGGGGACGGAGAAGGCUAUGUUGGCCGGGCGACGGUUGUCCCGGUUUAAGCGUGUAGGCUGGUUUUCCAGGCAAAUCCGGAAAAUCAAGGCUGAGGCGUGAUGACGAGGCACUACGGUGCUGAAGCAACAAAUGCCCUGCUUCCAGGAAAAGCCUCUAAGCAUCAGGUAACAUCAAAUCGUACCCCAAACCGACACAGGUGGUCAGGUAGAGAAUACCAAGGCGCUUGAGAGAACUCGGGUGAAGGAACUAGGCAAAAUGGUGCCGUAACUUCGGGAGAAGGCACGCUGAUAUGUAGGUGAAGCGACUUGCUCGUGGAGCUGAAAUCAGUCGAAGAUACCAGCUGGCUGCAACUGUUUAUUAAAAACACAGCACUGUGCAAACACGAAAGUGGACGUAUACGGUGUGACGCCUGCCCGGUGCCGGAAGGUUAAUUGAUGGGGUUAGCGCAAGCGAAGCUCUUGAUCGAAGCCCCGGUAAACGGCGGCCGUAACUAUAACGGUCCUAAGGUAGCGAAAUUCCUUGUCGGGUAAGUUCCGACCUGCACGAAUGGCGUAAUGAUGGCCAGGCUGUCUCCACCCGAGACUCAGUGAAAUUGAACUCGCUGUGAAGAUGCAGUGUACCCGCGGCAAGACGGAAAGACCCCGUGAACCUUUACUAUAGCUUGACACUGAACAUUGAGCCUUGAUGUGUAGGAUAGGUGGGAGGCUUUGAAGUGUGGACGCCAGUCUGCAUGGAGCCGACCUUGAAAUACCACCCUUUAAUGUUUGAUGUUCUAACGUUGACCCGUAAUCCGGGUUGCGGACAGUGUCUGGUGGGUAGUUUGACUGGGGCGGUCUCCUCCUAAAGAGUAACGGAGGAGCACGAAGGUUGGCUAAUCCUGGUCGGACAUCAGGAGGUUAGUGCAAUGGCAUAAGCCAGCUUGACUGCGAGCGUGACGGCGCGAGCAGGUGCGAAAGCAGGUCAUAGUGAUCCGGUGGUUCUGAAUGGAAGGGCCAUCGCUCAACGGAUAAAAGGUACUCCGGGGAUAACAGGCUGAUACCGCCCAAGAGUUCAUAUCGACGGCGGUGUUUGGCACCUCGAUGUCGGCUCAUCACAUCCUGGGGCUGAAGUAGGUCCCAAGGGUAUGGCUGUUCGCCAUUUAAAGUGGUACGCGAGCUGGGUUUAGAACGUCGUGAGACAGUUCGGUCCCUAUCUGCCGUGGGCGCUGGAGAACUGAGGGGGGCUGCUCCUAGUACGAGAGGACCGGAGUGGACGCAUCACUGGUGUUCGGGUUGUCAUGCCAAUGGCACUGCCCGGUAGCUAAAUGCGGAAGAGAUAAGUGCUGAAAGCAUCUAAGCACGAAACUUGCCCCGAGAUGAGUUCUCCCUGACUCCUUGAGAGUCCUGAAGGAACGUUGAAGACGACGACGUUGAUAGGCCGGGUGUGUAAGCGCAGCGAUGCGUUGAGCUAACCGGUACUAAUGAACCGUGAGGCUUAACCU
rnacentral:rRNA from 1 species